rnacentral:lncRNA from 10 species
AUUUCACUGAUGGAAAAAUGGAGAAGAUUUGAUGAAACAGGAGCCAGAGGUUUAAGUUGUAACAGGUUUCGGAUGUGAUUCAGAACUUAGAGGACAGCGAACUGCAGAAAAAUUCUUUGGAAGAUAAUGAUUAGAGAAAAAUUCUGGGUCAAAGGCAGCUAUUGUGGUGCAUAGUUAUUCAGACUUCAAAUUUGAAAAGAAAUCAUUGUUUCACAGACCGAAAGGUGAGCCACUGGUAUCUGUCAUCAGCAAACAGGAAAAAUGAAGACGUACAUUUCUUCUAUAGGUUGCAACACACAGUACAAAUAUACCAUUAGAAUACCUAAAAUGCAAGAUGAAUCGGUUCUGUGAAUUGAAACUUUGAUUUUGUUCUUUAGCCAGUAGAGUUUACAGAGUUCUAUGAGGAAGGACGUCUGUAAAAUAUCUUACAAUAUGUUGUCUCCUAUUUUGAGAGAAAGGGAAAGUGUCUUUGCACUGUGAAUAUACCCUUUGUGUUAUUAACUGUGAGGACAUGACAAGGCUAAACAAUUGCUUCUUUCUUCUGUCAAAGUUCCGUUUGCUUUGGUUAGUGCCAUUGCUGGAGAGAAUUAAACAAGUUUCCACAUUUUAGGCUUCUUGACAUUUUUUGAUGUUCCACGUAACUGCAACGGAAUAACUCGAUGAAACAAAUCAAGGCAGCUGUGCUCUGAUCCUUAGUUGCCUUCCAGGAUAAGAUGACGCAUUUGAUAAACACAUUUCCUUUAACGCCAAGUUCUCCAGGUCAGGCAGGCAUAUCAUAUAGAUGAAACUGAUCUGAGCCUUCAUCCUGAGGGAGAAGAGAGUUGGAGAUGAAGGUAAACCAGGAUCCCGGUUUUAACCCUGCAACACACCAGUCUCCUGAUCUUGAGUAUUUAAAUGGAGAAAGCUCACCAAAGAAGAGAAGGGACAUGCUUCACUCAGGAUGAUGGGCUGUCCCUUUUCCUUUGGAACCAGCAUAACCUUCACCAUGUCAAUAUGGAUUGCAGAGAAAUGGGAACUUGGUGCUGUUCACCUUACAGCUCCUGAUGAUUUCUUACAGUGGGGGAAAGGGAGAUUGGACUUCAAGGUCAGAGUAGCUGAGCCAAGUUAUUCCAAUCUGUUGUUUAUCCAUGAAUUAUUAUUGCAAUGCCUAACCGGAGAUAGAAACUUAUCAAGAAUUUAUCAAGUUUUCCUCUUAGAAGUUUCACUUCUGUUUGAAAGAAAAUGCAACCAAUGAAACAAUCGCUGCGUGUCAUAAAUUAUAGGUGUCUGACAUUCAUUACAAAGAAAGAAACAGUCAAAUAUCAUGGGACUCAUAUUUAUUUAUGUCUAUAUUAUCUACAGAUACUAUAGAUAAUAUAUAUGUAUAUUUUGACAGAGAAAGAAGAAGUCCACUGUGGAGUGUUUAAUCUACCAUAGUUUGAUAUUGUCUUUUUUGUUUGUGCCAAUUUGAAUUACUUGGUUCUGUUUUUUGGUUAUCUGCAAUUAGUGUGGUAUUUAUUUACAGAAUAGAGGAAACUGAAGCUUACUCUAUGUACACAAAAGAAUACUGUACCCAUUCAAUCAUAUAAAAAUAGAGUUAUCUCAUGGAAAAUUCAUUUUUUUCUUGUUUUGGUACUUUUCCUGAAGUUUUAGAAUAUGUUCUACUUUUGUCUGUGACACAAAUUUUGGAUCUUUUGAUAUUCUCAAGGACACACUGCUGUUGAGCUUGCAAACUGGUAACUGUCUUUUUGGUGGCACCCUGUCUUGGUCAUUACUGACAUCAAAGUGCAUUCUUCCUCCAUCCUGAUAGAUACAUAACAUAUGAGGUGCAUCUUGCAGUGUAUGAAAUAUACCAUACUGAUAUUGACCUAAAAAUAGACACAUUAACCAAUGGAACAGGAUAGAGAACCUAGAAACAAACCUGUGCAUGUAUGGUCGAUUGAUUCUCAACAAAGAUGCCGAAAACAUACAAUAAAAAAGGACAGUUUGUUUGAUAAAUGGUGUUGGAAAACUAGAUAUCCACAAGCAGAAAAAUGAAAUUGGAUUCUUGUCUAACACCAUAUGCAAAUAUCAACACAAAACACAUUAAACACUUAAAUGUAAGACCUGAACUGUAAAACUACUAAAAGAAAACAAAGAGGAUAUACUUACUACAUUCAUCUGAGCAAAGAUUUCUUAGAUAUGAUCACAAAACCAAAGUCAACAAAGAAAAAUAAACAGAUCGGAUUGCAUCAACUAAACAGCUUCCGCAAAGCAAAGGAAACAAUCAAGCUAAGAGAUAGUUCAUGGUUUGGGAGAAAAUAUUUGCAAACCAUAUAAGGGGCUAAUACCCAAAACAUAUAAGGAACUCAAUGCAAUAGCAAGAAAACAAAUAAUCCAAUAAAAAUUAGGUAAAGCACCUCAAUAGACACUUAUCAAAAGAAGACAUAUGUGACUGCCAGAUAUAUUAAAAAAUGUUCAUCAUCACUAAUCAUCAAGAAAAUGCAAAUUAAUACCACAAUGAGUUAUCACCUCACACCUGUUAGAAUGGCUAUCAUCAAAAAAGACAAAAGAUAAAUGUUGGCGAGGGAGUGCCAACAAGGGAACCCUUAUGCAAUAUUGGUGGAAAUGUUAAUACGGCCAUUACGGAAAAUGGUAUGGAGACUCCUCAGAAAACUAAAAAUAUAUCUAUCAUAUGAUCCUUCAAUCCCACUACUGGUAUAUGGUCAAAGGAAUUGCAAUGCCUAUUCCAAAGAUACCUGCACUCUUAUGUUAUUGAAGCAUUAUUCAUAAUGGGUAAGAUAUGGAAGCACUCUGUGUCCAUCAAGGAACGAAUGGAUCAGGAAAAUGUGGUAUAUAUGCACAAUGAAAUACUAUUCAGUCUUAAAAAAAGGGAAAAUCCCUGUAAUCCUAGCACUUUGGGAGGCAGAGGCAGGUGGAUCACGAGGUCAGAUCGAGACCACCCUGGCUAACAUGGUGAAACCCCAUCUCUACUAAAAAAUACCAAAAAUUAGCCAGGUGUGGUGGCGGGCGCCUGUAGUCCCAGCUACUCGGGAGGCUGAGGCAGGAGAAUGGUGUGAACCUGGGAGCUGGAGCUUGCAGUGAGCCAAGAUGGCGCCACUGCACUCCAGCCUGGGCGACGGAGUGAGAGACUGUCUCAAAGAAAAAGGAAAAUCCUCUAAUUUUUAACAACAUGGAUAAACCUGGAGGACACUAUGCUAAGUGAAAUAAGCCAGGCACAGAAAAACAAAUGCUGCAUCAUCUCACUUGUAUGAGGAAUCUAAAAACAUUGAAAUUGUAGAAGUAGAGAGUAGAAUGAUGUUACCAGAAGCUGAUGAAGGGGAGUGGUUGGGGAAAGGUAGUUGUUGAUCAGAGGUUACAAAGUUUCAGUUAGGAGGAAUAAACUUAAGAGAUCUAUCACAUAGAAUUGUGACUAUAAUAAAUAAUAAUAGAGUUGUUAAAAGAGUACAUUUUAAAUGUUUCAAUGCACACAAAAAUGACAAGUAUGUGAGGUGAUAGAUUUGUUAAUUAGCCUGAUUGUAAACAUAUAUCAAAAAUCACAUUGUACCUCAUAAACAUAUACAGUUAGUACUUAUCAACAAAUAAUAAAAUUCAAAAAAAAUAACCAAAAAGAAAAAAAAAAUACCAGGCUAAUCAUUUGUUCAUCUUAGCAUUAAAUUGGUGGAUUUUUUUUUUUUUUUUUUUUUGAAAAUAGGUAUUUUCUGGGGAAUCAGAUCAGAUAGAAUUUGAAACAUUAAUGAAAUAAUUUAAAAUAAUUCUUUAGGA